UACGGAAGUACCCAACCCCACCUCGAUUGCGAAAGGCGAAAGCCCGCCGUGCUCUGCGAGGCUGCGACCUGUGUCGUCCGGCCCGUCCCCAAGGUAUGAACCCUAGCCGCCGCGUCGUCUUCCCAGUCUCUACUCGAAGCAGAUUGAUAAACCAAUCCAGUGAGUCCAGUUCGGAACCAUGGCGGUGCCCGCGGGCAGCUUGAAGUUUCCGCCGGCGAUGACCGAAAACGCCGCCGCCGAAGAGAACAAGGAGAAGGUGGAGGCUGGCCCUAACAAUCCUGCGGGCAGCUUGGGUUUCUCGCCGGUGAUGAGAGGAAAAGGCGCCGGAGCGAAGGAGGAGAAGCGGAAGGACAAGGAUGAUGACGAGGAGGAGCUGGUCGUCACGAACCCUGUGCGGGCCAGUCUGAUCUACCACUCCUUCAACAUUGCAUUCGUCUUGGAAGUCAUCUUCUUCAUCGCCCAUAUAGUCAUAUACCACAAUGCUAGGUUUUGCGUAGACAGCGACGGGAAGCUCUGCCGCCGCCGUCGCUCCCCGUCGCUGUCUCUCCCUCGCCGUCGAAAUGUCCGCCCCAUCGAGCUCCUCAUCGUCCCAAAGUGAAGGAGGGUACUACUUGAUGGGAUGUCUCAAGGACGUACCAACCCUCAGGGGUGACAACUACACUCAGUAGAGAAAGAAAGUGGAUCUGGCUUUUGUUUGUGGCGAGGUGGACUGGGUGGUUGACACUCCACAGCCACCAAAGCCUACAGAACCAGUCAGGGAUGUAAAAGAUGAUGAUGUUGCUGGGGAGAAAAAGAAGAGUGAGUAUGCUCCAUUGGAGAUGUCAUACACCCUCGAGAACAAAAAGUGGCUCACCGCCAACAAAAAGUGCAUGGCUUUUAUAAAAAACACAAUUGAGCACGCUAUUGUGGGCUCAAUUGCAGAUUGUGCUUUCGUAGGGGUGUAUCUUGAAAAGAUAAAGAGCCAGUUCACUCGUUAUUCAAAGAUAUAUGCUACCUGGCUGCUUCAGCAGCUGGUGACAGAAAAGUACACAGGAGGAGGACAUGGCAUAAGAGAGCAUAUCCUCAGGAUGAGCAACAUGGCUUCUAAGUUAAAGCCCAUGGAUGCUGAUUUAGAGAUUAAGCCUGCAAUGCUUGCUCAUCUCGUUAUGGCUUCAUUGCCAAAAGUGUUUGACACUUUUGUUGUCAACUACAAUAUGCAACCAGAGCGGUGGGAUAUUGAAAAAACUAUAGCCAUGUGUGUGCAAGAAGAGGACAGAAUUAAAUCCUCAUAUGGUGGUUCUCUGAACUAUGUGAGGGAUAAUAAGAAAAAGAACUUCCCUCAAGGCAAUCAAAGUUCUUCUUCAAAGCCACAUGGUAAAGCUCCCAUGCAACAUCAGCAACAACAAAAGACUUUUCCAGUGGACAAAGACACAUGCCUCCACUGCAAGAAGAUCGGGCAUUACAAGAAAAAUUGCCCGGAAUGGCUAAAGUCAAUCAUGGCAAAGAAUGGGAUUCCUUUCGACGCGGACUACGCAAAGAAACAAAAGAUGCAUUGAAGUUGCAAAUGGAGUCCAAGCGGACGUAGAAGCUGUCAGCGACAUCUCCUUGGAGCUUCCCGAUGGAUUCACGAUCCUGCUUAGAGAUGUGUUUUAUGUUCCUUCAUUACACAGAAACUUGAUUAGUGUAUCACGUUUGGACAAAGUUGAUUAUGAAUGUCAUUUUGAACAUGGCAAGUGUGCCAUAUGGUUUAAUAAUGAUUGUGUGGGUGUUGCCUUCCUUCACAAUGAGCUUUAUUUAUUAUCCAUACGUGAAAAGGUACAUUCUAUGUGUAAAGUGAAUGAACAUGUUGCCGCGUCGGA